rnacentral:tRNA from 1 species
ACUUAAAUAGUUUAAUGAAAAUUUUAAUUUGUGGAAUUAGAGAUAGCGAUAGUUUUUAGGUA